GAUGAACGCUGGCGGCGUGCCUAAUACAUGCAAGUCGAGCGAACAGACGAGGAGCUUGCUCCUCUGACGUUAGCGGCGGACGGGUGAGUAACACGUGGAUAACCUACCUAUAAGACCGGGAUAACUUCGGGAAACCGGAGCUAAUACCGGAUAAUAUAUUGAACCGCAUGGUUCAAUAGUGAAAGACGGUUUUGCUGUCACUUAUAGAUGGAUCCGCGCCGCAUUAGCUAGUUGGUAAGGUAACGGCUUACCAAGGCAACGAGGCGUAGCCGACCUGAGAGGGUGAUCGGCCACACUGGAACUGAGACACGGUCCAGACUCCUACGGGAGGCAGCAGUAGGGAAUCUUCCGCAAUGGGCGAAAGCCUGACGGAGCAACGCCGCGUGAGUGAUGAAGGUCUUCGGAUCGUAAAACUCUGUUAUUAGGGAAGAACAAAUGUGUAAGUAACUAUGCACGUCUUGACGGUACCUAAUCAGAAAGCCACGGCUAACUACGUG
rnacentral:rRNA from 1 species